UAUUGGUCAAUGGCCGGAAGGCUGAACCAGCCAUGCCGCGUGAAGGUCAGUGCCCUAUGGGCGUUAAACUUCUUUUGUGCGGGAGCAAUAAGGUUCACGUGUGGGCCGACGAGUGUACCGUACGAAUAAGCAUCGGCUAACUCCGUGCCAGUAGCCGCGGUAAUACGGGGGAUGCAAGCGUUAUCCGGAUUUAUUGGGUUUAAAGGGUGCGUAGGCUGUGAGGUAAGUCAGCGGUGAAAUGCCCCCGCUCAACGGGGUGAAGUGCCAUUAAUACUGCCUUGCUGGAAUGCGGAUGCCGUGGGAGGAAUGUGUGGUGUAGCGGUGAAAUGCUUAGAUAUCACGAAGAACUCCGAUUGCGAAGGCAGCUCACUAGACUGCAACUGACACUGAUGCUCGAAGGUGUGGGUAUCAAACAGG
rnacentral:rRNA from 1 species